CCUUGCUCCUGGCUUAUAUUCACAUAGGCCACUCAUAAGAAUAAGACGUUCAACUCCCUAAAACACGUGUAAUUGAGAGAGUCAUCAUAUCAGUGCCUUGGGGAAAUGCCUACCUUCAGGAGAAGAUUACCGAAUGAGUUUCAAACCUGUCCUCUUCGCUUCCCAAGAUAUUUAGGGAAAGGGGCCUUGUCGGCCACCGCUUGCUGACGACGGAACGCAUCGUCAAUUAACGGGUCCUCGCCUUGGACUUAGUUGGAAAGGUAGGUGUUCGGCAUGUCCCUUGCUUGCGAACUUCUUUAGUAGGGCGGAGGUGCCAUUCCUCACGUUUACCGUUGUCCCCAGACUUCACCCACGUGUAAUUGAGAGAGUCAUCACAUCAGUGCCUUGGGGAAAUGCAUACCUUCAGGAGAAGAUUACUGAAUGAGUUUCAAACCUGUCCUCUUCGCUUCCCAAGAUAUUUAGGGAAAGGGGCCUUGUCGGCCACCGCUUGCUGACGACGGAACGCAUCGUCAAUUAACGGGUCCUCGCCUUGGACUUAGUUGGAAAGGUAGGUGUUCGGCAUGUCCCUUGCUUGCGAACUUCUUUAGUAGGGCGGAGGUGCCAUUCCUCACGUUUACCGUUGUCCCCAGACUUCACUCUUUCAACACUUGUAUACUUU
rnacentral:lncRNA from 1 species